AUGUCCCACAGCUUUAAUAAAUGGAGCUGUCCAGUCGCCUCUUGCUGCAUAAGUGGGGCGGGGCGGGCCUCCCACGCUGGCCACGAGCAGGGAGGCCAGGGGUCCCCGCUGGCCCGGGAAGACUGUCCCACUGGGGCGUCUCUGUCCGGCUCCUUCCUUGGCUGUGGCCCAGGCUCUGUCAGGCCCGACAGUGCCCAGUGGGCUGGGGGGGGGGUCUCUGCCCCGGCUGAGCGGCUGUGGCUGGGGUCUCUGAGGCUCAGGCAGCAGAAGAGAAACUCCUGUGGCCCUGGGGCUCGGCCCUGCCCCUCAGGACGCAGAGAACCGGGGGCCGGCGUGGCCUCUGUCCCAGGGAGGGCGUCCAGCUCCUGGCCUGUGGCCACUCUGCUGUCCGCUGCAUCAGCCUCUCCCACGGUGACGAAGGGGUGGCUCCUGCCCAGGAGUGGCAACAUGAGGCCUGCCAGCCCCCGCCAGGACAGCUGGCUCCCCCUCUCGGCCAGGGAGUGGUGCGCCGGGCUACCGCCAGGCAACGGAGCACAGAGUGGCCCCAUGAGAUGGGCAGAGUCCGCUGGGGGGAGCUGGUCCUGGGUGCCCACACAGGGUCCGCUGGGGGGAGGUGGUCCCAGGUGCCCACACAGGGUCCGCUGGUGGGAGGUGGUCUCAGGCACCCAUACAGAGUCCAGCCUGGGCCCAGGGUGGGGAAGGGCUCAGGUCAGCUGGAGGAGGCACCAGGCAGCACCGUGCACAUCACGUGGCAAAUGUCCAGCUCCAGCUCAGCACUGGCUCACCGCAGGCCCUGGUAUUGCUGCCUCAGCCCCUUGCCUGCCCGCUGCAGCUGUGCUUUGGCAGCCAUCUAGGCCCGGCACUGCUGGUACUGCCACUCCUGCUGAGCCUCAGGGUCCUCACUCUUCCUGGGGUCUCCUGGGAGGUCUGGGACAGCAUGAGGAAGAGUCAGUCGUGAGGGAACCCCCGAGACCAGAGCCACCCAGCAGGAGGGAGCCCAGCCUGGGGACGCGGGUGCCUGUAGACCCCUGUACAGCACAAGCCCACCCUGGCGGCCUGGGCGCCCCACAGUCACUCUUGGGGGCCCAUACAUGA
rnacentral:lncRNA from 1 species